GACGAACGCUGGCGGCGUGCCUAAUACAUGCAAGUAGAACGCAGUUGGAACGGGUGAGUAACGCGUAGGUACCCUCCUCAUCGCGGGGAUAACUCUUGGAAACGAUAGCUAAACCGAUAUUGAGAUGGACCUGCGUUGUAUUAGCUAGUUGGUGAGGUAAAGGCUCACCAAGGCGACGAGCCCUAGCGGGUCUGAGAGGAUGACCAGCAACACUGGAACUGAGACACGGCCCAGACUCCUACGGGAGGCAGCAGUAGGGAAUCGUCGGCAAUGGACGAAAGUCUGACCGAGCAACGCCGCGUGAGUGAAGAAGGUUUUCGGAUCGUAAAACUCUGUUGUUAGAGAAGCGGUAUCUAACCAGAAAGCCACGGCUAACUACGUGCCAGCAGCCGCGGUAAUAC
rnacentral:rRNA from 1 species